rnacentral:rRNA from 1 species
UACGGGGGGUGCGAGCGUUAUCCGGAAUUACUGGGCGUAAAGGGUCCGCAGGCGGCGGUCAAAGUCUGACGUGAAAGCUCCCGGCUCAACUGGGAGAAGCCGUUGGAAACUAGGUCGCUUGAAUCCCGCAGAGGUCGGUGGAAUUCCCGGUGUAGUGGUGGAAUGCGUAGAGAUCGGGAGGAACCCCAAAAGCGAAGGCAGCCGGCUGGGCGAGGAUUGACGCUGAGGGACGAAAGCGUGGGGAGCAAACAGG